rnacentral:rRNA from 1 species
AGCAGCCGCGGUAAUUCCAGCUCCAAUAGCGUAUACUAAAGUUGUUGCAGUUAAAAAGCUCGUAGUUGAACUUCGGGAUCAAUGAAUCGGUCAUGCUUUAGUAUGUACUGGUUCUAUUGGUUCUCACCUUCUAAGGAACCAUAAUGUCAUUCAUUUGAUGUUGUGGGGAAUUAGGACUGUUACCUUGAAAAAAUUAGAGUGUUUAAAGCAGGCUAACGCUUGAAUACAUUAGCAUGGAAUAAUGAAAUAGGACAUUUGAUUCUAUUUUGUUGGUUUCUAGGAUCGACGUAAUGAUUAAUAGGGAUAGUUGGGGGCAUUAGUAUUCAAUUGUCAGAGGUGAAAUUCUUGGAUUUAUUGAAGACUAACUACUGCGAAAGCAUUUGCCAAGGAUGUUUUCAUUAAUCAAGAACGAAAGUUAGGGGAUCGAAGACGAUCAGAUACCGUCGUAGUCUUAACCAUAAACUAUGCCGACUAGGGAUCGGAUGAUGUUAUUUUGAUGACUC